rnacentral:rRNA from 1 species
GAAUGAACGCUGGCGGCAUGCCUUACACAUGCAAGUCGAACGGCAGCAUGACCUAGCUUGCUAGGUUGAUGGCGAGUGGCGAACGGGUGAGUAAUGCAUCGGAACGUGCCUUUUAGUGGGGGAUAACGUAGCGAAAGUUACGCUAAUACCGCAUAUUCUCUGAGGAGGAAAGCAGGGGACCUUCGGGCCUUGCGCUAGAAGAGCGGCCGAUGUCGGAUUAGCUAGUUGGUGAGGUAAAGGCUCACCAAGGCAACGAUCCGUAGCGGGUCUGAGAGGAUGAUCCGCCACACUGGGACUGAGACACGGCCCAGACUCCUACGGGAGGCAGCAGUGGGGAAUUUUGGACAAUGGGCGCAAGCCUGAUCCAGCCAUGCCGCGUGAGUGAAGAAGGCCUUCGGGUUGUAAAGCUCUUUCGGCUGGGAAGAAAUCGCACCCUCUAAUACAGGGUGUGGAUGACGGUACCAGCAGAAGAAGCACCGGCUAACUACGUG